AAUGAGGUGUGCUCGGUUAGGAUUGGAGUGAAAACCUACAGUUGUCAGACGAUUUAAAAGGCCGCAAUAACUUCCUAACUUCCGUCUCCACGGAAUGUCUCCUGGUGUCUUAUGAAACUUCGUUCCCCGUUGAUACGCGCUUAUUGGAUCAGGGAGGACAGGACCAGCUCUUCACGUUUCACAGUGAAAGGUCUUCCUUCCUCGCGUACGAUGCGUUGCCGUUGUGGAGAAGCAGUUCCUGACGACCAAGUUUUGAGACUCGGUUUGAAAAGUGCUCGAGAUCUUGGGCGGCGGCCACCGUUAAAAAUAGCAGAACGUGUCAAGCGACGCCAGCUUGGAUCGGAUUAGAGGGAGAGGAGAGGGCUGCAGCUGGGUAACAUUCGAAGAGAUCAAGUCAAAGGAAGAUGGAGCUGGCAUAACUGUUAUUUUUUUGUUUCUCUUUUGUCCUUUUAAUUCACGCAGGUGCACACUCGUGUAUUGAAAUGUAAUUUUAUUUUCGGGGGGGGGUCAUGAA